CACGGGGGUUGCGAGCGUUGUCCGGAAUUACUAGGCGUAAAGGGCAGGCAGGCGGAUCCAUAAGUUUAUCGUUUAAGGCGUCGGCUUAACCGGCGUAGGGCGGUAGAUACUGUGGAUCUGGAAUGCGGUUGGGGAAGACAGAAUUCCUGGUGUAGCGGUGGAAUGCGCAGAGAUCAGGAGGAAUACCGAAGGCGAAGGCAGUCUUCCAAGCCGUUAUUGACGCUCAACUGCGAAGGUGUGGGUAUCAAACAGGAUUAGAUACCCGGGGUAGUCCCUGAG
rnacentral:rRNA from 1 species